GAUCCCUCCGUAGGGUAACCUGCGGAGGGAUCAUUACCGAGUUUACAACUCCCAAACCCCUGUGAACAUACCUAUACGUUGCCUCGGCGGAUCAGCCCGCGCCCCGUAAAAAGGGACGGCCCGCCCGAGGACCCCUAAACUCUGUUUUUAGUGGAACUUCUGAGUAAAACAAACAAAUAAAUCAAAACUUUCAACAACGGAUCUCUUGGUUCUGGCAUCGAUGAAGAACGCAGCAAAAUGCGAUAAGUAAUGUGAAUUGCAGAAUUCAGUGAAUCAUCGAAUCUUUGAACGCACAUUGCGCCCGCCAGUAUUCUGGCGGGCAUGCCUGUUCGAGCGUCAUUUCAACCCUCAAGCUCAGCUUGGUGUUGGGACUCGCGGUAACCCGCGUUCCCCAAAUCGAUUGGCGGUCACGUCGAGCUUCCAUAGCGUAGUAAUCAUACACCUCGUUACUGGUAAUCGUCGCGGCCACGCCGUAAAACCCCAACUUCUGAAUGUUGACCUCGGAUCAGGUAGGAAUACCCGCUGAACUUAAGCAUAUCAAUAAGGCGGAGGAA
rnacentral:rRNA from 1 species